AACGCACAUUGCGCCCCUUGGUAUUCCAUGGGGCAUGCUUGUUCGAGCGUCAUUUGUACCCUCAAGCUUUGCUUGGUGUUGGGUGUCUGUCCUUUCCCUGCGUCAGGACUCGCCUUAAAUUCAUUGGCAGCCGAUGUAUUGGUUUGAAGCGCAGCACAAUUUGCGAUUCAGGCUGGUGAUCAUGGGCAUCCAGUAAGCACAUUUUAACACCUUUGACCUCGGAUCAAGUAGGGAUACCCGCUGAACUUAA
rnacentral:misc_RNA from 1 species